rnacentral:rRNA from 1 species
GAUGAACGCUCGCGAUAGGCUUAACACAUGCAAGUCGAGGGGUAACGUGUUGGAAGCUUGCUUCCGAUGACGACGACCGGCGGAUGGGUGCGUAACGCGUAUGCAACUUGCCUCACAGUGGAGAAUAACCCGGAGAAAUCCGGACUAAUACUCCAUACACUCUUAAGUACGCCUGUACAUGAGAGGAAAGAUUUAUCGCUGUGAGAUAGGCAUGCGUCCUAUUAGGUAGUUGGUGAGGUAACGGCUCACCAAGCCGACGAUAGGUAGGGGUGCUGAGAGGCAGAUCCCCCACAUUGGGACUGAGACACGGCCCAAACUCCGACGGGAGGCAGCAGUGAGGAAUAUGGGUCAAUGGAGGAAACUCUGAACCAGCCAAGUCGCGUGAAGGAAGAAUGGCCUAAGGAUUGUAAACUUCUUUAGCGAGCGAGUAAGGACUUCCACGUGAUGGGAGUUUGAAAGUAGCUCGAGAAUAAGUAUCGGCUAACUCCGUG